rnacentral:rRNA from 1 species
UGUAAGCGUAUACCAAAGUUGUUGCAGUUAAAACGCUCGUAGUCGGAAUUUGGCAGUUCCGGAUGUGUGCACGUCGUGUGCGCACUUCGCGGGGAUUGCUUUUGUGGUCUUGCGUAGGAUGAGGCACUUUUAUUAGUGAACGUCCUCACGCAACCACUUUUUACUGUGAGAAAAUCAGAGUGCUCAAAGCAGGCAUUUGCCGUGAAUGUAUUAGCAUGGAAUAAUAGAAUAGGACUUGGUUCUAUUUUGUUGGUUUGUUGGGACUGAGUAAUGAUUAAGAGGGACAGUUGGGGGCAUUUGUAUUUCGGCGCUAGAGGUGAGAUUCUUAGAUUGCCGAAAGACAAACUGCUGCGAAAGCGUCUGCCAAGGAUGUUUUCAUUGA